UGUCUUUUGAGUACCUUCGUUUCCUCGGCGGGUUCGCCCGCCGAUUGGACAAUUUAAACCAUUUGCAGUUGCAAUCAGCGUCUGAAAAAACAUAAUAGUUACAACUUUCAACAACGGAUCUCUUGGUUCUGGCAUCGAUGAAGAACGCAGCGAAAUGCGAUAAGUAGUGUGAAUUGCAGAAUUCAGUGAAUCAUCGAAUCUUUGAACGCACAUUGCGCCCCUUGGUAUUCCAUGGGGCAUGCCUGUUCGAGCGUCAUUUGUACCUUCAAGCUCUGCUUGGUGUUGGGUGUUUGUCUCGCCUCUGCGCGUAGACUCGCCUCAAAACAAUUGGCAGCCGGCGUAUUGAUUUCGGAGCGCAGUACAUCUCGCGCUUUGCAUUCAGAACGACGACGUCCAAAAGUACAUUUUUACACUCUUGACCUCGGAUCAGGUAGGGAUACCCGCUGAACUUAAGCAUAUCAAUAA
rnacentral:rRNA from 1 species